rnacentral:lncRNA from 1 species
ACCAGCUGCUCGCACGCCCGCUCGGCCGUCCGCACGCUCGCCGCCGGAGUUCCUCGUCGCCGCCGCCGCCGUUCCGCUCGAGCUGUUGCUCCGCCCGCUAGCUCGCUUCUUCGUCGUGGUCACUCGUCCAAGCCUCCGUUUGUCUCGGCCCGUGGUCGCCAGCUGCCGUCGAGGCCGUGCCACCGCCGCUUGGUCACCGAAGCAGCCGAAACCGCCUGAGCCGCCGUCGCCCUUGCUGCCCUCCUUCUCCGCCAUCCAGCCGCAUCACCCCUGCUUCUUCGUUCAUUUUGGUCGCUGUUAGGAGCCGUUGGAGCUCCCCCCGACUGUUGUGCACCGCCGAAGACCCGUUGGAGUCGCCGCUUGCACCGCCCGAGCUGCCGCCCCUCUUCUCCACCGUUCCUCCGCCCAUUCCGGCGCCGGAUCUGCCCUCCUUCGCCCCCAACCAGCAGCAAACAGAGAAGAAGAAAAUGGGUAUGGCAGCCCCGUUUUGGCCCGUUUUGGCCGCCUUCCCGAGCCCGGAUGCUCGGCCCGUUUUGAGGAAAGUCGAUCCUCGCGUCGUCCCCGUCGUUUUGGUCCGCUCAGCUCGCUAAUC